UAAAACAACUAAAGGCUAUCGAAAGGCCAUCCCUCUCAAAAGGGACUUCACCCAGAGCGACGACUCUGUAACAACCAUCGAAAGGCAGCCAUCAACCGCCGACUCUGCCACCAUCCCGCCGUCAACCUCCGCAGUAGAACCUCCGACUCUGUAACAGCUACGGCCGUCAACAACCACCUCCUUCUACGGCCGUCAACAACAACCACCACCCCGCCGUCAACAAAGUCGCUCCAGCUCUUCGACUAGUUCCGAGAUUUGAUUUUCUUUUUUCUUCACCCAUAAACUUUAUCUCCUCCACCCGAAACAACCACCUCCUUCUAUUAAUCCAAGCUCCACAUUUUCAAAUAGUCCCAAAAUUUUAGGGUUUUUUCUCGACUAAGCUCGACCAUCUCCUUUUGCAAUUUCUCAAUAGUUGAGCCAUAAUUUGCAGAUUCCAUUAGUGAGGAAGAAAUUGCAACUGAUAGCUGUGGGAUAAAUCGCGGAUCUUUGUGAAAUUGGUGAGAAGGGCAAUGCAUCUUUGGCACCUAAUGACCAGUAGGAUACUCCUCCCUCUGGCACCUAAUAUUAGCUUGUGCUAUAUAAUCAAGGUGGAGAAGAUCAAGAAAUGGAUGAUGAAGGUAAUGAAGAACUAGACCUUACUUGAGAUGAAUUUUGAAUUGCUAUAGAUGAAUGUUCUAGGAAUCUUUUGUUAUCAAUAUUUUUUAAACUUACUCUUUUGAAAUGUACUAAACUUAUGCACUUGGGGUAGAACAUUUGCUUUAUGGAUAUUAUUUGCUUGAUGGAUAAUUUAUAUUAUUAAUA